rnacentral:rRNA from 1 species
AAAUUGAAGAGUUUGAUCAUGGCUCAGAUUGAACGCUGGCGGCAGGCCUAACACAUGCAAGUCGAGCGGUAGCACAGAGAGCUUGCUCUCGGGUGACGAGCGGCGGACGGGUGAGUAAUGUCUGGGAAACUGCCUGAUGGAGGGGGAUAACUACUGGAAACGGUAGCUAAUACCGCAUAACGUCGCAAGACCAAAGUGGGGGACCUUCGGGCCUCAUGCCAUCAGAUGUGCCCAGAUGGGAUUAGCUAGUAGGUGGGGUAACGGCUCACCUAGGCGACGAUCCCUAGCUGGUCUGAGAGGAUGACCAGCCACACUGGAACUGAGACACGGUCCAGAC